rnacentral:lncRNA from 1 species
AAUUCUGUUUUUCUGAAAAACGUUUGGAAAAUUUGGGAAUCUGAUCUUGGGAGUUCCAGGCACGAUUCGAAGACUGAUCCUGUGUUCCAGAGGCUAAAGGUGGCUAGAUUGGAAGCAUUCAACAUCAUGGGAGUGGAUUCCUUGAAGUUGGAGCAAGAAUUGAGCUACUUCACGAUGAGAGGCUAGACCUCCAUUGAGGUUGGAUCAUGAUGAGGAACUAAACUAAUGUAUUCAAUGUAAUCAAUUGUAUCUGUAUUGAAUCUCUCUCUUAUGAAUGUUAUUCAAUGAAAUUCUAUCCUUAAUGCUUUACAAUUUCUGAUCAAUCUUGCAAUGAACUUAGAUUUUAAUUAUGUACGAGAGUAUGAGUUGAAAUCAGAACUGAAUUCAUUGUGCAUGUGAGUGUUUCCGGUCGAUAGAUUGAAACAUAGAAUGUAGCAUACGAUCAACUCGUUUUCAAAUACUCCGCUAACGGUAGCUUCCAUCCAAGAGAUUGGAGAAGUAUCGGUAGAGGAUAGGGUGGAUUUUGACAAGAGAUUGCGAUUCACCAUAUUGUUGAUCUAGUUGUAACAUUCGAGUGAUUCAUUACGAUACAAUUGAAUUGCAUGUGAAUACUAUUGUUUAGAGAAUUGUCGACGAUCCAACCUCAUUCUUAAUCAAUUGAUUUCUCAACAUUUUCGUACAAAUACAUCAUUCAAACCAAACCCCCAAUUUAUGUGUAUUCUUUGCAUCAUGUUUAUGAACACUAUUAGACUCGUUUAAUCACACAAUCCCUGUGGAUCGAUAUUUUUAUUACUACGUGGUAAUUCGUUCACUUGCGAAAAUUAUCCAUCA